rnacentral:rRNA from 1 species
AACGAACGCUGGCGGCAGGCCUAACACAUGCAAGUCGAGCGCGCCCUUCGGGGUGAGCGGCGGACGGGUGAGUAACGCGUGGGAACGUGCCCUUUUCUACGGAAUAGCCUCGGGAAACUGAGAGUAAUACCGGAUACGCCCUUUGGGGGAAAGAUUUAUCGGAAAAGGAUCGGCCCGCGUUGGAUUAGGUAGUUGGUGGGGUAAUGGCCUACCAAGCCGACGAUCCAUAGCUGGUUUGAGAGGAUGAUCAGCCACACUGGGACUGAGACACGGCCCAGACUCCUACGGGAGGCAGCAGUGGGGAAUCUUGGACAAUGGGGGCAAGCCUGAUCUAGCCAUGCCGCGUGAGUGAUGAAGGCCUUAGGGUUGUAAAGCUCUUUAAGCUGGGAAGAUAAUGACGGUACCAGCAGAAGAAGCCCCGGCUAACUCCGUG